rnacentral:rRNA from 1 species
CGUCGCCGCGGUAAUACGUAGGUGGCAAGCGUUGUCCGGAAUUGUUGGGCGUAAAGGGCUCGCAGGCGGUUUCUUAAGUCUGAUGUGAAAGCCCCCGGCUCAACCGGGGAGGGUCAUUGGAAACUGGGAAACUUGAGUGCAGAAGAGGAGAGUGGAAUUCCACGUGUAGCGGUGAAAUGCGUAGAGAUGUGGAGGAACACCAGUGGCGAAGGCGACUCUCUGGUCUGUAACUGACGCUGAGGAGCGAAAGCGUGGGGAGCGAACAGGAUUAGAUACCCCUGUAGUCCCUGUCUCUUAUACA